rnacentral:rRNA from 1 species
GUGGGGAAUAUUGGACAAUGGGCGAAAGCCUGAUCCAACCAUGCCGCGUGAGUGAUGAAGGCCUUAGGGUUGUAAAGCUCUUUCAGUAGGGAAGAUAAUGACGGUACCUACAGAAGAAGCCCCGGCUAACUUCGUGCCAGCAGCCGCGGUAAUACGAAGGGGGCUAGCGUUGUUCGGAUUUACUGGGCGUAAAGCGCACGUAGGCGGAUUGGUCAGUUAGAGGUGAAAUCCUGGAGCUCAACUCCAGAACUGCCUUUAAUACUGCCAGUCUAGAGUCCAGAAGAGGUGAGUGGAACUCCUAGUGUAGAGGUGGAAUUCGUAGAUAUUAGGAAGAACACCAGUGGCGAAGGCGGCUCACUGGUCUGGUACUGACGCUGAGGCGCGAAAGCGUGGGGAGCAAACAGGAUUAGAAACCCCGGUAGUCC